rnacentral:rRNA from 2 species
AUGGACGCAAGUCUGAUGGAGCAACGCCGCGCGAGUGAAGAAGGCUUUCGGGUCGUAAAACUCUGUUGUUGGAGAAGAAUGGUCGGCAGAGUAACUGUUGUCGACGUGACGGUAUCCAACCAGAAAGCCACGGCUAACUACGUGCCAGCAGCCGCGGUAAUACGUAGGUGGCAAGCGUUAUCCGGAUUUAUUGGGCGUAAAGCGAGCGCAGGCGGUUUUUUAAGUCUGAUGUGAAAGCCCUCGGCUUAACCGAGGAAGUGCAUCGGAAACUGGGAAACUUGAGUGCAGAAGAGGACAGUGGAACUCCAUGUGUAGCGGUGAAAUGCGUAGAUAUAUGGAAGAACACCAGUGGCGAAGGCGGCUGUCUGGUCUGUAACUGACGCUGAGGCUCGAAAGCAUGGGUAGCGAACAGGAUUAGAUACCCUGGUAGUCCAUGCCGUAAACGAUGAAUGCUAGGUGUUGGAGGGUUUCCGCCCUUCAGUGCCGCAGCUAACGCAUUAAGCAUUCCGCCUGGGGAGUACGACCGCAAGGUUGAAACUCAAAGGAAUUGACGGGGGCCCGCACAAGCGGUGGAGCAUGUGGUUUAAUUCGAAGCAACGCGAAGAACCUUACCAGGUCUUGACAUCUGUUGAUCACCUGAGAGAUCAGGUUUCCCUUCGGGGGCAAAUGACAGGUGGUGCAUGGUGUCGUCAGCUCGUGUGUGAGAUGUGG